rnacentral:rRNA from 1 species
GAUGAACGCUGGCGGCGUGCCUAAUACAUGCAAGUCGAGCGAACGGACGAGAAGCUUGCGUCUCUGAUGUUAGCGGCGGACGGGUGAGUAACACGUGGAUAACCUACCUAUAAGACUGGGAUAACUUCGGGAAACCGGAGAUAAUACCAGAUAAUAUUUUGAACCGCAUGGUUCAAAAGUGAAAGACGGUCUUGCUGUCACUUAUAGAUGGAUCCGCGCUGCAUUAGCUAGUUGGUAAGGUAACGGCUUACCAAGGCAACGAUGCAUAGCCGACCUGAGAGGGUGAUCGGCCACACUGGAACUGAGACACGGUCCAGACUCCUACGGGAGGCAGCAGUAGGGAAUCUUCCGCAAUGGGCGAAAGCCUGACGGAGCAACGCCGCGUGAGUGAUGAAGGUCUUCGGAUCGUAAAACUCUGUUAUUAGGGAAGAACAUAUGUGUAAGUAACUGUGCACAUCUUGACGGUACCUAAUCAGAAAGCCACGGCUAACUACGUG